rnacentral:rRNA from 1 species
UACGGAGGGGGCAAGCGUUGUCCGGAAUCAUUGGGCGUAAAGAGCGCGUAGGCGGCCCGUUAAGUCUGCUGUGAAAGUCCAGGGCUCAACCCUGGAAUGCCGGUGGAUACUGUCGGGCUAGAGUACGGAAGAGGCGAGUGGAAUUCCUGGUGUAGCGGUGGAAUGCGCAGAUAUCAGGAGGAACACCAAUAGCGAAGGCAGCUCGCUGGGACGUUACUGACGCUGAGGCGCGAAAGCGUGGGGAGCAAACAGG